GACGAACGCUGGCGGCGCGCUUAACACAUGCAAGUCGAACGGACACAUCCGACGGAAUAGCUUGCUAGGAAGAUGGAUGUUGUUAGUGGCGGACGGUGAGUAACACGUGAGCAACCUACCUCAGAGUGGGGGACAACAGUUGGAAACGACUGCUAAUACCGCAUAAGAUGGCAGGUCGCAUGGCCUGGUCAUAAAAGGGCAAUUCGCUCUGAGAUGGGCUCGCGUCUGA
rnacentral:rRNA from 1 species